rnacentral:rRNA from 1 species
CAGCCGCCGCGGGAAUACGAAGGGGGCUAGCGUUGUUCGGAUUUACUGGGCGUAAAGCGCACGUAGGCGGACUUUUAAGUCAGGGGUGAAAUCCCGGGGCUCAACCCCGGAACUGCCUUUGAUACUGGAAGUCUUGAGUAUGGUAGAGGUGAGUGGAAUUCCGAGUGUAGAGGUGAAAUUCGUAGAUAUUCGGAAGAACACCAGUGGCGAAGGCGGCUCACUGGACUGGUAUUGACGCUGAGGUGCGAAAGCGUGGGGAGCAAACAGGAUUAGAUACCCCCGUAGUCCCUGUCUCUUAUAC